GCAUGCGGCUUGCCGGCAUGCCAGAAGGCGAUAGAAUUUCAUUGCCGUACGGCGUACCUGGCUGCAACCUUGCAAAUCGAGAAAUACAAAGCUGAUGAUGGCUGCACAUCAAUCAUGACUCCGAUCAGGACCUGCAUACAUGGCCAGGUUAACGUAUCUUGAUCCCUACAGAGUUAGGCAGCGGGGCAGCUGGAUUUGGUACAAAUCGACCACGUCUAGCAUGCAUCUAUCUCGACGGUUAAUAGGUGUGGCAUCCCAGAAGUAGCAGAAUCACGCCUCGGAGGUAGUAGCGACCGUCGAGCGGCCGCCAACGAGAUAUGAAGAUGGAAGCUUGGUGCAAUCCCUACAAAACCCCAGAUGAACUCGACCACGACGGUGCUAUUCUGGUCGAUCAAAAAGGCCCCGAAGAUGGCGACGUGCAUGGAGGCGAUGCAUCAAUAUGCCAGUCGAUCCGGUUGCAGCAGCGGAGUGCUCAGGUAAGUGUGAUGCAUGUAUCAAUUCGAUCUGUUGUGUGCAUGAUCUACUACUAAAUAUCUAGGCUACUGAACUUACAUCGAACGUCGCAACAUCUGUCUCACGAUUUACAUACCAACGUAAGAUUGAUUGAUUGAUUAGAUAUGGCUACAUACAGAUGUGCGAACCGAAGAUGCAUGCAAGCUACGUGUGAUUUCUGAAGUUUGUUGGUCUUUAAAUUUGUAAGGACUGUCUUUGCUUUUUCCAUUAUUCUACAGCACACGAUGUCGCGGGUGUGAGCAGCUACCAUGCAAUUGACGCAUUUCACUUGCAGGUUAAAUAUCGAUGGUUUAUGCAAUUUGUAAUUUUCAUUACUAUUCUGGGCAAUGACGGGAGUAAUCAGAACAAUUAGAUCGGAUUGGUGUGUCUUCUCUGUAAUCUGCACGAAUAUUUGUUCUUUCAGGUUUUCCUUUUCUUUCCAUUUUGUCGAUUUAGGGAGGGUUUGACCUCUCUUUGCAGUGUAAGCAUCUCUACUAUUAAGAGUAAACUGGUGAAUGCC